rnacentral:rRNA from 1 species
GAUGAACGCUAGCGGCAGGCCUAACACAUGCAAGUCGAAACGAGACCUUCGGGUCUAGUGGCGCACGGGUGCGUAACGCGUAGGCAAUCUACCCGAUACAGGGGAAUAACACGGGGAAACUCGUGCUAAUACCGCGUAAUAAAAUGAGAAGGCAUCUUCUUAUUUUAAAAGCUUUGGCGGUAUCGGAAGAGCCUGCGUCCUAUUAGCUAGUUGGUAAGGUAAUGGCUUACCAAAGGCGACGAUAGGUAGGGGAACGUGAGAGGUUGAUCCCCCACCACU